CUUCGGCCUGUUUGAUCUACUAAAGAUGAAAAGGAAAAAUCAGUAGAUGAGAAAGGGCAAACAAGUAAUCAAAUUGGAUGCUGCUGACCUUUAAAAUAUGCGAGAAUCAGCUGCAAGGCCUUUAAUGCUGCCACUAGAGGAAAUUUACAGCCACCAAUUGUAAGCAUAAAUAGAAUCAGGUACAGCACCGUGGCAGGGGUUCCUGUGAAUCUCCAAGUC
rnacentral:lncRNA from 1 species